rnacentral:rRNA from 1 species
AGAUUGAACGCUGGCGGCAUGCUUUACACAUGCAAGUCGAACGGCAGCGCGGGGCAACCUGGCGGCGAGUGGCGAACGGGUGAGUAAUAUAUCGGAACGUACCCAAGAGUGGGGGAUAACGUAGCGAAAGUUACGCUAAUACCGCAUACGAUCUAAGGAUGAAAGCAGGGGACCGCAAGGCCUUGUGCUCCUGGAGCGGCCGAUAUCUGAUUAGCUAGUUGGUAGGUAAGGCCUACCAAGGCUACGAUCAGUAGCUGGUCUGAGAGGACGACCAGCCACACUGGAACUGAGACACGGUCCAGACUCCUACGGGAGGCAGCAGUGGGAAUUUUGGACAAUGGGCGCAAGCCUGAUCCAGCAAUGCCGCGUGAGUGAAGAAGGCCUCGGUUGUAAGCUCGUUUUGUCUAGGGAAGAAACGGUAGGAAGCGUAAUAAUCUACUCACUAAUGACGGUACC